rnacentral:rRNA from 1 species
CCCUUAGAUGUCCUGGGCCGCACGCGUGCUACACUGAUACGUGCAAUAAGUGCUCCUGUUCCGAAAGGCAACGGGUAAUCUAUAAUACGUAUCGUGAUGGGGAUAGAUCCUUGUAAUUAUGGAUCUUGAACGAGGAAUUCCUAGUAAGUGUAAGUCAUUAUCUUACGCUGAUUAAGUCCCUGCCCUUUGUACACACCGCCCGUCGCUCCUACCGAUUUCGAGUGGUCCGGUGAGCCAUUUGGACUAGCCUGUUUCAGGCUGGAAAAUCUAGCGAACCUUAUCACUUAGAGGAAGGAUAAGUCGUAACA